rnacentral:tRNA from 1 species
GGGAUAAUAAUUUAAAAUAAAAUAUUUAAAUUGCAAUUAAAAUAUAUUGAAUAUCAAUUUAUCUC